rnacentral:tRNA from 1 species
GCGGGAUUAGUUCACCGGUAGAAUGACUCCCUUCCAAGGAGUAGAAGAGGGUUCGAUUCCCUUAUCCCGCUCCA